AGUGUUGUGGUAACCAGCGCAGCUUGUGGGGUAUUCCUUCAGAUCCUCAUGGGUUCCCAAGCAGGCAUGUUGUCCAUGCUCCUCAGGGUAUUUCGGAGAGAGAAUAGAAUACACACAGACACCAGACCAAGGCAGAAGGAGGCCAGCUGCCCAUCAUGGUAGGAAAGGGCAAGAAACAACUGGUCAUGGAGAAGGCACAGGUCUGCUGGGGAGGCAUCACCCCAAGCCCCCACCAUCAAUGAGCAGGAGAAGAGACACGAGAGGUUGGAGAAGCUCAAAAGAGAGCUCCAGAACAUAAAAAAUGCCAGAGACGAACUUCAGGGAAUCCUGGCCAACUACACUAACAAGGAUUUAAAUGACAGGAUCAACUUUGAGACAUUCAUGCUUGAGAUGCAACAUGAUCAGGUGAUGACUGACCUGAAGAGAAUGCCCCAGGACAUCAGUGAGGCCUUGUCCAAGUGCAAGCAGUUGACUAAAGAAUAUCAGUUCUACUGCUGCAGGAACUGCAAUCUCCUGAUUGAAUCUAACCUCAUCCAGCACAAAGUCAGGAUGUUGAGGAAGGAGAACAGACAGCUGCUAAGGGAGCAGAUUGCAUUGGAAGAAUGCAACAUAGAAACAAAAACACUAUGUAAGGAAGGCAUCCAGAAGAUCAAAGACCACUAUACUAAGCAGCAGCAGGUCUGAAAUAUUCUGCAGAAGCUCAAACAGAUGAGAGACCAGGUCAAGAUCUUGCUCAGACACAACUGUUCACCAGGAGCACUGGGUGUGCAAAGCAAAUUAACCACCAUUGCAUCUGAUCCUUGUAACCAUGGCAAUCUUGGGCUGCAUUUUCUUCUUUUUUGGUUUGCUAUGGGUAAUGAGGCCUUUAUUUUGUCUAGCCUCUGGUCCAGCAAGACUGCCUGUUUGGAAGGCUUCAGAGAAGUGCUGAGAUACAUCAAGAUCUGCUCAGCAUCCAGGAGGGCUCUGAGAAUGCCAAUUUUGGCCGGUCCUUUUGGGUCAUCUAGGAUUAUUUCAUGGUGAUCAGUCAAGUAAAUUUGAAAAACUUUGAGGUAUCAUCUGUAACAUCUCUAAUGCUCAGACUUGGAAGGACUAGUACAUCAGCAAAAAACCCACCCCAAUGAGCCAUGCCUAUAUUCAUCCUGAACAGAUUAUUACCAUCAGUGACUGCCUUUGCAUUAUUUCACCAAGGCCAGCAACAGGCUGUAGGUCUUUGCUGAACAUCUGCAGCAAGAGAAUGAUGCUUAGCUUAAUUAUUUUGUUUGGUUUUGGUUAGAGUUUUGAUUUCUUUGUGUCUUUGGUUUGCCUGUGUUUUCAUUUGAAGUUUCAUUAUAUAUUCACUAUCUUUUUGUUACUGUAAUUAAUUUGCUUUUUUUGCUAAGUCUAUAUACUGUAUAAACUGACUCCCCACUUUAAGUUGUUAUUGAAUAAAAUUAGUGUAUUGUUAUGGAUAAAA
rnacentral:lncRNA from 1 species